rnacentral:rRNA from 1 species
AACGAACGCUGGCGGCGUGCUUAACACAUGCAAGUCGAACGCGAAAGGGACUUCGGUCCUGAGUAAAGUGGCGCACGGGUGAGUAACGCGUGGAUAAUCUACCCGAUGGGCAGGGAUAACAUUUCGAAAGGGGUGCUAAUACCUGAUAAGACCACGGAGUCUAUGGGCUCUGCGGUCAAAGGUUGGGACCUUCGGGCCUACCGCCAUAGGAUGAGUCCGCGUACCAUUAGCUAGUUGGCAGGGUAAAGGCCUACCAAGGCGACGAUGGUUAGCUGGUCUGAGAGGAUGAUCAGCCACACUGGAACUGAGACACGGUCCAGACUCCUACGGGAGGCAGCAGUGGGGAAUUUGCGCAAUGGGGGAAACCCUGACGCAGCAACGCCGCGUGGGUGAUGAAGGCCUUCGGGUCGUAAAGCUCUGUCAGGGGGGAAGAAGUGCAGGGGCGCUAAUAUCGCUUUUGCUUGACGGUACCCUCAAAGGAAGCACCGGCUAACUCCGUGCCAGCAGCCGCCGUAAUAC